CUCUACUCGCCCGGAGUCCGCCUGGCGCGCGCAGUACCAGCGGCUCCCCGCGCUCUCGGCCGCCGGGACACUCUCCGCCCCGGACGCCGUCCAGAUCCUGAGAACAGGUGGUCUCGGAGAGAAGCGCGACAGUCGCCUCUCACUCACCCAGAAGAUGAAGUUAAAUCCGAAGAGCAGCUGUGUCCGGGAGGGUUUCACAGCUCUGUUUGGCAGUGGGAGAGUCCCGUGGUUUCUUCCCCUCCUGCCCCUUUAGCAGGAUUGCGGCACCCUUUGCUUUAUGAGCUCCCCUCUGGCUACGCAGGGCUGGAUGUGCCAUUGCUGGCACCCCCACCCACCUUUCCAUCCACCUUUGCUGAGCAAGCCAGGAAAACAGAAUGCCAGACCCCUGGGUGCCCUGACUUGCCCUCUACCUGACAUUUUGGUGCAUGUCUCUGAUUCCCCACUCCACGUUGUCUGCACCCCGGAAUUUCUACUGCUGGAGGCUAUCCUUCACUCACUACCCUUUGGGGUCCACUGAGAGGCUAACUCUCUUUAGCCCUUAGCUUUGUAUCUGCUUCUAAUUUUAAUUUUAAAAUAACUUAUUUAUUCACAUAAUUAAAAAAUGAGGAUGCAAAAGAGUAAAAAGAAAAAUGGGUUCUGGAAACUUAACAUGUAAGACAGACUUAGGAAUCAAAAGGCAAUGUGUGCUUCUCAUUAGACUCCCAGUUCAGAUGGAACAAUUGUUAACUUUUUUUUUUCAGGCAUGUAGGGAGACAUUAAUUAAGAAUUUUGGGGGUUAUGUCUCUGUAGCUUAGGCUUAUCUUGAAGUUGCAAUCCUACUGUCUUGGCCUCUUAAGUAUUGUGGCUACAGGCCUGGCUAGGGAACCCUAAAUAAAGACUAAUCAUUAGCUGAUAUUAGUAAACAUUCUUAUUACUAUUAUUUUGGAAGCAGCAUCUCACUUGCUAUGUAGAGUAGGUUGGCCUGAAACUCUGUCACCUGAUGUUUGCCACCGCUCCAGCCUUAAGGAGCCUUUUGGUUUUGUCAUGUAUGAAGAUGACACUGUCAUUUUCAAGAAAGUCUCGAGCCUCAGAGACACACACUGAGGUGUCUAUAUCCCUGCUUCCAGUUGAAAACCCAGGUCCUGUGUCGAGGCUGGACCAACAAUCAAUCGCUCAGGCUCAGGUGGGCUUUUUGGUGAUGUGGUUGCCUUUGAGUCUUCCAUGGUCCUGAAAGAAACCCCUCACUUAAAGUCCUGUAAUCUACAAUAAUAAACUCUCUGGUUCACUAAGCUGC
rnacentral:lncRNA from 1 species